UGGGGAAUUUUGCGCAAUGGGCGAGAGCCUGACGCAGCAACGCCGCGUGGGUGAUGAAGGUCUUCGGAUCGUAAAACCCUGUCGUCAGGGACGAAGGUCACGAGUUUAAGAGAUGCGUGACUUGACGGUACCUGGAGAGGAAGCCCCGGCUAACUCUGUGCCAGCAGCCGAGGUGAUACAGAGGGGGCAAGCGUUAUUCGGAAUUAUUGGGCGGAAAGGGUGCGUAGGCGGUGGCUUAAGUGAGACGUGUAAUCCCCGAGCUUAACUUGGGAACUGCAUCUCAGACUGGGGCGCUAGAGUACUGGAGAGGGUGGUAGAAUUCCACGUGUAGCGGUGAAAUGCGUAGAGAUGUGGAGGAAUACCAGUGGCGAAGGCGGCCACCUGGACAGUAACUGACGCUGAGGCGCGAAAGUGUGGGGAGCAAACA
rnacentral:rRNA from 1 species